CCCGAUGUUACAAGACCGUUAUAAAAAGUCUCAUUUUCACUGUUCUUCGUGCCUCUAAGUCCAUUCUUUGGGUUUGAACGGGUGAGUGUGUUUCUCACAACCUGAGGGCCCGUUCGGGAUCUCUGUGCCUACGUGGAGUGGGACUCCGGCUGAGAGAAGAGACAUGUCCCACCCGAUUUUUGUGCCCCACUCUGUCUGGGUGUCCUGGCUCCCCACAGAAGCCAUAGAUAAACCCGAGACUGUUAUUCAGGAGACGGUGGAGGUGACGCAGGGAGAAAAGCAGGCACUGCGGCAAACAGGCAACCUCGUGCACCAGCCAAGGUUGGGUAUUUCCUUCAGCCUAUUAAAGGAAUUGGGAACCUGUGGUACCUUCCUUUGAGUGUCACGGGAGUACCAUCUCUUUACCUUGGCAAGAGCAGAUCCUUCAUAUCUGUAGUUGAAUCACACACUCUCAGAUAUCUGAGCUUGAAUUCUACAGGGACACUUAUCUCAGCUUUUGAGUUUUAGGAGAAAUAGCCUGCAGACCAGAGAAUAAGGAAAAGUUGUUUCCUGCCAAAGAACAAGCAGUAUUGUGAAAUAUAAAAUUUUAUUGUUGCGGUGAAAGAAAAUUUCAGU
rnacentral:lncRNA from 1 species